UGAAAUUCCCUCAACAUUUGCCAACCUCAGAAGGAUGAGAAUCUUGUGGGCAUUUGAUAAUCCUUUCACUGGCAAGAUACCAGACUUCAUUGGGAAUUGGACAGAGCUUACAACAUUGAGAUUACAGGGGAAUUCUUUUGAAGGUCCAAUACCAUCGAGCUUUUCUCAAUUGGUCUCAUUGACCACUUUAAGACUUGGUGAUUUACAUAAUGUCAGCUCUACUCUUGAUUUUGUGAAGAAUUUGAAGAACUUAACUGACUUGAUUUUGAGGAAUGCAUUGAUCACCGGUACUAUUCCACUUAACAUUGGAGAAUACCAAACCUUAAAAAUAUUGGAUUUAAGCUUCAACAACUUGACAGGAGAAAUUCCAAGCGCUUUGUUCAGUUUGAGUUCCCUUGAGUACUUGUAAAUAUCAUAUAACCUGUUGUCUUUAUUGCUUUAAGAUCAUAUGUUAUAAAUGUUAAGUUUUGUUAUGUAGGUGUUUUAUACUCUUACUAUUCACUUCACAUUGAUUGGUUUUCAUAGUGCUAUCUUCCAUGACAUUAUGAUAUCACCAGGUUUCUUGGAAACAAUAGUCUAUCUGGAACCAUUCCGAACCAAAAAAGUGACUCUCUUCAAACUAUAGAUUUGUCUUACAAUCACCUUACGGGAAUUUUUCCUUCAUGGGUAAACCCAAAUAUGCAAUUGUAUGUCUCACAAAUCCUGCUGCUUUCUUAUUAAUCUUUAUUUUGUAGACUUAACACUAUCCUUUUGAGCUUUUAUGAAUUGUUAUGACAUUACAUUCCUUGUUUGUCAUUCCUAUUAUGGUGAAUGAUGCAUUGUGAAUUUCUCUACUAAGCCAAAUAAAAAUGAUGCAUUAGCAUCAUACAUAAAAACCUUUUUGAUGCGUAGUAGUUUUUAUGUCAACCAUGAAGUUGCAUGAACACAGAAAAAAUCAAAGAAGAUGCAUGUCAUUGUUGAAACAUAAACUUUGAUAAUUUUUCCUUGUUAAAUAAUGCAAGUAAAUUUGCUUGUACAAUAUUAUGGUAACCUGCUUGUAAUUAUUAACUUCUGUCUUGAUGGUCUUGAACUCCCAUCAAGACAUGCAUCAUGAGUUAUCAUCUUUGUUAUCUUUUCUAUGUGUUACCAUGGGCAUGUAUGAGUAAUCACUUCAUGGAGUUAUGCAGGAACUUAAUAGCCAACGACUUCGUGUUUGACAACUCAAACAUAAGUGUGAUGCCAGGAUUGAACUGUCUACAGAGAAAUUUUCCUUGCAAUAGGAAUGCUCCACGUUGUAAGCUUCUUUAUUCAAUUAUUUAGUUUCUAAUAGAAAUUUCUAUUAUUUAGUUCAAUAGCACACACUCAAUUAUUUAGCUUCUAAUAGAAAUUAUAUAACGAAAUAAUACUCCCAUGAACCCUUAUUUUUGUACAAAUUUUCAAUUUUGUUCCUUUAUAAUUCUUAGCUAGCUAGCACUAAAUUGACAUACAUGACUAAAAAAUCUGAUGUCUAAAAUCUCAUGAGGUGAGUUUAACUUUCUUUAACCCCCUUGUAUCAGCAUUAUGUGUUCCCUUGUGUGUUGUGGAUGGCUUCACCAAUUGGGAGCUAAAACAUUGCCAUUGUUAAAUGUUACAGAUGCAAAUUUUUCAAUCAAAUGUGGUGGCCCAGAGAUGCGUUCUGGUGGCAUAUUGUAUGAGGCUGAAAAUUCAUCCAUGGGCCCAGCAUCAUUCCAAGUAAUCACAAGUCAAAAAUGGGCAGUCAGCAUUGUGGGUUUGUUUGCUGAUAGACAGGAUCCAUCAUACAUUGAAGAUACCUUGUCACAAGUGGCCAGCACCAACACUCCAGAACUUUAUCUGACUUCAAGGGUAUCCCCUAGUUCAAUUAGAUACUAUGGCCUAGGUCUUGAAAACGGACUUUACAACAUAAGCUUAUUAUUUGCGGAAACAGCACUUAAACAUAGAAGCUCUCGAGUUUGGGAGAGCAUUGGAAGGCGAGUUUUUGACAUCUAUAUUCAGGGAAUUCGCCAGGACAAGGACUUUGACAUAUCAGAGGAAGUAGGUGGAGUUGAGAGAGCUAUUACAAAGCAUUUUAUUGCUAAUGUUUCUGGGAACCAUCUUGAAAUUCACUUGUUUUGGGCGGGUAAGGGGACCUGCUGCACACCCGUACAAGGCUAUUAUGGACCAAUCAUUUCAGCA
rnacentral:misc_RNA from 1 species